GACGGUGAUGGAGUAAGAGAAUCUCACCCUGCAGCACUUACAUUAUGAUCUUAUAAUAUUUAGGUUUGUGUUUAAUUAUCUUCUUAUGCCAAUAAUCUUAUGCAUCUUAUGUUAUUUCAGAUAAUAAACUUAGACAAAAGAAAUAACCCACAAUGUCUGUUUUUUUCUUGUUAAUUCUUCGUUAUGUUAUUCUUUAGAGUUCAUAAUAGAGUGCCCCAUAAUUAUAAAAUAAACUAGGAAACAAUUAAAAGUAUCUCCAAAUAAUUUUUAUGACAGCUCUACAGAUUUAUCUGUACUUAAAAGGCUUCAUGUAUUACCUACCAAUCCUCAAAACCUAUCUGCCAUGUGAGACUUCUUUAAGAAUUGUUGUUGGCCUUAGAUCAAGCAUUUGGACUCGAAGUAGCCUCCUUUGGAUGUCAACCCGAUAAACAGAUCAGUUCUAUUGGUCCCAGUACUAUGUCCUCCAGCUCACAGCGUGCUUUGUGACUAGGCACAUCUAAAUGAGUGGCAAAUGUUUAAAAACGUCAAAGUAAUUU
rnacentral:lncRNA from 1 species